AUUGAACGCUGGCGGCAGGCCUAACACAUGCAAGUCGAACGAGUGGCGGACGGGUGAGUAAUGUCUGGGAAACUGCCUGAUGGAGGGGGAUAACUACUGGAAACGGUAGCUAAUACCGCAUACCAUCGGAUGUGCCCAGAUGGGAUUAGCUAGUCGGUGGGGUAACGGGUAACCUAGGAGACGAGCCCUAGCUGGUCUGAGAGGAUGACCAGCCAGACUGGAACUGAGACACGGUCCAGACUCCUACGGGAGGCAGCAGUGGGGAAGAGUGCACAAUGGGCGCAAGCCUGAUGCAGCCAUGCCGCGUGUAUGAAGAAGGCCUUCGGGUUGUAAAGUACUUUCAGCGGGGAGGCGUUACCCGCAGAAGAAGCACCGGCUAACUCCGGGCCAGCAGCCGCGGUAAGUC
rnacentral:rRNA from 1 species